GCUUAACACAUGCAAGUCGAGCGAGAAUCGUUUUGCUGAAGGCUUCGGUCUGACGCAGAAUGAGGAAAGCGGCGAACGGGUGAGUAACGCGUGGGCAACCUGGCCUUAAGAAAAGGAUAGCCCCCGGAAACGGGGAGUAAUACUUUAUGAGAAUGAAAGAGGGCAUCCUACUUUCAUUCAAAGCGCAAGCGCUUAAGGAUGGGCCCGCGUAUCAUUAGCUAGUUGGUGAGAUAACAGCCCACCAAGGCAACGAUGCUUAGCCGGUCUGAGAGGGCGAACGGCCACAUUGGAACUGAGAGACGGUCCAAACUCCUACGGGAGGCAGCAGUGGGGAAUAUUGCGCAAUGAAGAAGAACUCUGACGCAGCAAUACCGCGUGAGCGAAGAAGGUCUUCGGAUCGUAAAGCUCUGUUAUCAGGGAAGAAGAAAAUGACGGUACCUGAUGAGCAAGUCCCGGCUAACUACGUGCCAGCCGCCGCUGUAA
rnacentral:rRNA from 1 species